rnacentral:pre_miRNA from 1 species
AGUAUAGUUGGUGGAUUAGAUGGUAGGUGCAUGUUUAGUUUUAAGAAAUGGCCAAACUGUUUUCCAGAGUGGUUUUACCAUUUUAAAUUCCCACUAAC